rfam:TPA: Bos taurus chromosome 15, whole genome shotgun sequence.
UCCCUGGUGGCUCAAUUGGCAAAGAAUCUGCCUGCAAUGCAGAAGACCCAGGUUCUAUCCCUGGGUGGAGAA